rnacentral:tRNA from 1 species
GCAUUGAUGGUGUAGAGGCAGCAUCUCAGCCUUCCAAGCUGAGGACCCGGGUUCGAUUCCCGGUCAAUGCA